GACGAACGCUGGCGGCGUGCUUAACACAUGCAAGUCGAACGGAAAGGCCCUGCUUGCCUGGUACUCGAGUGGCGAACGGGUGAGUAACACGUGGGUGAUCCGCCCUGCACCUCGGGAUAAGCCUGGUAAACGGGGUCUAAUACCGGAUAGGUGCCAUUUUGAGCGUGAUGGUUGGAAAGUUUUUUGGGUGUAGGAUGGGCGCGCGGCCUAUCAGGUUGUUGGUGGGGUAGUGGCCUACCAAGGCGGGGACGGGUAGCCGGCCGGAGAGGGUGGACGGCCACAUUGGGACUGAGAUACGGCCCAGACACCUACGGGGGGCAGCAGUGGGGGAUAGUGAACAAUGGGCGCAAGCCUGAUGCAGCGACGCCGCGUGGGGGAUGACGGACUUCGGGUUGUAAGCGCCUUUCGCUAGGGACGAAGCUUUUUGUGACGGUACCUAGAGAAGAAGCACCGGCUAACUACGUG
rnacentral:rRNA from 1 species